rnacentral:misc_RNA from 1 species
UUGACUCUAUAGUAAUGAAAAAUUUUCCUUGAUUCUAUGUCGAGGAAUAUUAUUAAAAUCUUAGCCUGAAUUUCAUUGCAGGCUUUCUUUUUGGCUUGAAGUUGCUCAAAGCUUAUGUUAGCAAAGCUGUGAUACUGAAUUUUAUAAUUAGUGGUUUAGACUGUUAUUUCUGACUAUCUCAUCGUUAACCUAAAGUCUGUGCCUGUGGGUUACUUUGGUUGACCUUGGUUAGCACUGGUUAAGUACUGUAUGAUUAACAUUUCUAGUUCCUUGUCAUUCUCAACAUGUUUAUUGCAGAACUCAACUCAACUGAGCUUAAUUCCAGACUAGUUAUGGUGGGCUACAUUGAUUUCUUUCCUUCUUCUGCAUUUUUAGGAGUCAAUACUUUUUGUUAGUCAUGAAGGAUCUGUAUUCAUAGAGGUUUAAAGAGUUUUACAUUGGUCAUCAACAUGCACAAUUCUCCCCCUUUAUCAAGGUUUUAGGGAUAGAGCAUACCUAAUUCGUCCUUUUAUCAAAGUUUGAUGUAGUUUGAGGUUCUUGUAGAUGCUAUUGUUUUAAAGUGUUCACGCAUGCUUACCUACGCCACCUUAAAUUUUUGAAACUUUGUAGUUCAAAAUUAAUGUCUUGUACUGAUGUUCAGUUUGUUGCAGAUGAGCAGUAAUGCUUUUUGUCGUGUUGGUUUUUUCCUUGGCCAAUGUUCUUGUUUAGCCUUGGUGCAAG